rnacentral:tRNA from 1 species
GAUGAAGUGUCUGAAAAAGAAUUAUUUUGAUAGAAUAAAGAAUGUAAUAAACUUACCUUCAUCC